rnacentral:rRNA from 1 species
CGGACGUACUGCAGAGGAGUCAUGCAAGUCGAGCGGCAGACAAAAGCAUUUUUCUCCUGAGGUGGCCAGCGGGGUAAGGGUGGCUAAUGCCUAUGGAUGGGCCUGGGGGAUGGGGAUAACAGUUGGAAACGACUGCUAAUACCGCAUACGCCCUACGGGGGAGGGGACGGGAGGCCUUGGCCUUCCGCAAUAGCAUGAACCUGAUUGGGAUUUUGGUGUUGGUGAGGUAAUGGCUCGCCACGGCCACUAUCCGGUCCUGUUCGAAGAUGAUGAUCACCCGAACUGGGACUGAGACACGACUCCUACUCCUAGCGGAGGUGGGGAAUGGGAAUAUUGCACAAUGGGCGAAAUCCUGAUGCGCCCCGUGUGUGUGUGUGGUCAACGCCUUGUGGUUGUAAAGCACUUUGGAGGAAGGGGAAAGGGUAAGGUUUAAUACGCCUUAUCUUUGACGUUACCUAAAGAACAAGGACCGGCUAACUCCGUGCCCGCGGUAAUAGUAAGGGUGAGGGUGUUAAUCUUAAUUACAAUUAGUGGGCCUAAAGCGUGUGGUUGCUGUUUGUGGAUGUAAAUGUCAAAGGCCUGGGCUCAACCUAGGAAUAGCAUUUCGAACUGGCGAAUUAGAGUCUUGUUGGUGGGGGUAGAAUUCCAGGUGUGCGGUGAAAUGCAUAGAGAUCUGGACGAAUACCGGUGGCGAACGCCGCCCCCUGGACUGACACUGACGCUCAUGCACCAAAGCGUGGGGAGCAGAUUGGAUUACAUACUCUGGUAGUCCAUACCGAAAACAACUCUACUUUGAGUUCCGUGUCCUGAAAACUGCGCUCCCCAACCCAACACAUUAACUACACCGCCAGUGCGAGUACCGCCGGCUAAGUUAAAACUUGAUUUAAAUUGGGCCGGGCCCGCACAAGCAGCGGGAUCAUGUAGUUUAAUUCAAUGCAAAGAAAAAUAACCUUACCUAGACUUGAACAUCCAACUUACUUAACAAAAAAUGGUUCCGUGCUCUACUGUUAACAAUAGAGAACAGGUACGGCAUGGCUAGUCCUCAUCUCCUUGUUCUGUAGUGUUAAGGUUUAGGUCACGACACCAAGCGCAAGCUCCUAAUCUUUACUUACCGUCACGUAAGGCUCUCUAACUCAACGGACACACGUCCACUAACAACCACAGUGAGGGAUGAGGAGAUCACGUCAAAGUCUAUGCUCU